UCCGUAGGCGGGCAAUUAAGUCAGAGGUGAAAUCCCACAGCUCAACUGUGGAACUGCCUUUGAUACUGGUUGUCUUGAGUUAUAGUGAAGUAGAUAGAAUAUGUAGUGUAGCGGUGAAAUGCAUAGAUAUUACAUAGAAUACCGAUUGCGAAGGCAGUCUACUAACUGUAUACUGACGCUAAUGGACGAAAGCGUGGGGAGCGAACAGGAUUAGAUACCCUGUAGUCC
rnacentral:rRNA from 1 species